rnacentral:rRNA from 1 species
UACGGAGGAGGCAAGCGUGAUCCGGAAUUAUUGGGCGUAAAGCGUCCGCAGGUGGCACUUCAAGUCUGUCGUCAAAGACUGGGGCUUAACCCUGGAAAGGCGGUGGAAACUGAAGCGCUAGAGUGCGGUAGGGGUAGAGGGAAUUCCCGGUGUAGCGGUGAAAUGCGUAGAGAUCGGGAAGAACAUCGGUGGCGAAAGCGCUCUACUGGACCGCAACUGACACUCAGGGACGAAAGCUAGGGGAGCGAAUGGG